rnacentral:rRNA from 1 species
CCUACGGGAGACAGCAGUGGGGAAUAUUGGACAAUGGGGGGAACCCUGAUCCAGCGACGCCGCGUGAGUGAAGAAGUAUUUCGGUAUGUAAAGCUCUAUCAGCAGGGAAGAAAGAAAUGACGGUACCUGACUAAGAAGCCUCGGCUAACUACGUGCCAGCAGCCGCGGUACUACGUAGGGGGCAAGCGUUAUCCGGAUUUACUGGGUGUAAAGGGAGCGUAGACGGCGAUGCAAGUCUGAAGUGAAAGGCGGGGGCCCAACCCCCGGACUGCUUGGGAAACUGUAUGGCUGGAGUGCAGGAGAGGUAAGUGGAAUGCCUAGUGUAGCGGUGAAAUGCGUAGAUAUUAGGAGGAACACCAGUGGCGAAGGCGGCUUACUGGACUGUAACUGACGUUGAGGCUCGAAAGCGUGGGGAGCAAACAGGAUUAGAUACCCGGGUAGUC